rnacentral:rRNA from 1 species
AGGUGAACCUGCGGAAGGAUCAUUAUUGUAUUUGAAAGGGGUUGUAGCUGACCUCCUCUUGAAAAGGGGGGAGGUAUGUGCACACCUCUGUUCAUUCAUAUUCUCUCACACCUGUGCAUGCUUUGUAGGUUGGUUUUGAAUGGUUGUCUUCUCUGAUGGAGACAGCUGUUUUGACCUUCCUAUGUUUUUUAAAUUGACUCCGUAUCAGUUACAGAAUGUAUGUUGCGUGUAACGCAUAUUGUAUAACUUUCAGCAACGGAUCUCUUGGCUCUCGCAUCGAUGAAGAACACGGCGAAAUGUGAUAAGUAAUGUGAAUUGCAGAAUUCAGUGAAUCAUCGAAUCUUUGAACGCACCUUGCGCUCCUUGGUAUUCUGAGGAGCAUGCCUGUUUGAGUGUCAUGGAAUUAUCAACCCUUUUGACUUUUUGUUGAAUGGGCUUGGAUUUGGAGGGUUAAAUUGCUGGCUCUUCUUUUUGAUUCAGCUCCUCUUGAAUGCAUUAGCUUGAACCCUUGUGGAUUGACCUUAUCGGUGUGAUAGUCAUCUAUGCCGUGGUUGUCUGAGGUGGGAUCGGCUUCUAAUGGUGCAAGUCCCUUCAGGGGGAUGAUUUUCUAAUGACCUUCUGACCUCAAAUCAGGUAGGACUAC